rnacentral:rRNA from 1 species
GAUGAACGCUAGCGGCAGGCCUAAUACAUGCAAGCCCAGCGCUGUUUGGUGUAGCAAUACCUCAAACAACCGGCUGACGGGUGCUUAACGCGUAUGCAACCUACCCUAUACAGGAGGAUAGCCCUCGGAAACGAGGAUUAAUACUCCAUAAGAUUGCUUAGAGGCAUCUUUAAUCAAUUAAAGCCGCACGGCGGUAUAGGAUGGGCGUGCGUCCGCUUAGAUAGUUGGUGAGGUAACGGCUCACCAAGGCGAUGAUCGGUAGGGGUUCUGAGAGGAAGAUCCACCAGACGGGAAAUGAGACACGGACCCGACUGGUACGGGAGGGAGCGGUAGGGAAUAUAGGAGAAGGGGUGAAAGCCGGAUCAAGCCAUGCCGCGUGCAGGAAGAAGGCCAUAGGGGUGGUAAGCUGUUUGUGAGGGGGAGAAAUAAGGGCGAUGAGUCGAUCGAUGAUAGUACUUCUAGAAUAAGCAGCGGCUAACUUCGGGC